rnacentral:rRNA from 1 species
UGAGGAAUAUUGGUCAAUGGGCGAGAGCCUGAACCAGCCAAGUAGCGUGAAGGAUGAAGGCUCUAUGGGUCGUAAACUUCUUUUAUAUGGGAAUAAAGUUUUCCAUGUGUGGAAUUUUGUAUGUACCAUAUGAAUAAGGAUCGGCUAACUCCGUGCCAGCAGCCGCGGUAAUACGGAGGAUCCGAGCGUUAUCCGGAUUUAUUGGGUUUAAAGGGAGCGUAGGUGGAUUGUUAAGUCAGUUGUGAAAGUUUGCGGCUCAACCGUAAAAUUGCAGUUGAAACUGGCAGUCUUGAGUACAGUAGAGGUGGGCGGAAUUCGUGGUGUAGCGGUGAAAUGCUUAGAUAUCACGAAGAACUCCGAUUGCGAAGGCAGCUCACUAGACUGUUACUGACACUGAUGCUCGAAAGUGUGGGUAUCAAACAGG